GCGGGUUUAGCUCAGUUGGGAGAGCGUCAGACUGAAGACAAACUUCAUCAGGUAAUCUGAAGGUCGUGUGUUCGAUCCACACAAACCGCA
rnacentral:tRNA from 1 species